rnacentral:piRNA from 1 species
UGGGACACUGUUCCAUGGUUGUUUUCUCUG